rnacentral:rRNA from 1 species
CGAACGCUGGCGGCGUGCUUAACACAUGCAAGUCGAACGAGGACUAGAGAGCUUGCUCUCUAUAGCCGAGUGGCGAACGGGUGAGUAACACGUGACUAACCUGUCUUUAGGCGAGGGGCAACCUGGGGAAACCUGGGCUAAUACCACAUAAUGCCUAUUUUUCGUAUGGAAGAUAGAUCAAAGGGGGCCUCUGCUUGCAAGCUCCCGCCUAGAGAGGGGGUCGCGGCGUAUCAGCUUGUUGGUGAGGUAAUGGCUCACCAAGGCUACGACGCGUAGCGGGUCUGAGAGGACGAUCCGUCACAUUGGGACUGAGAUACGGCCCAGACUCCUACGGGAGGCAGCAGUGGGGAAUAUUGCGCAAUGGUCGAAAGACUGACGCAGCGACGCCGCGUGUGGGAGGAAGCCUUUCGGGGUGUAAACCACUGUCAGGGGGGAAGAACACCGGGUGUCUCAAUAGGAUGCCCGAUUGACGGUACCUCCAAAGGAAGCGCCGGCUAACUCC